rnacentral:lncRNA from 1 species
AGUUGAUCAGGAAGACUUGGGAAAAUAUGAAAAGUUCCUCUUAAUCUUUUCCUGAUGUGUGGCCCUAGCUACUCAUGCAACUGAAAGCCAGAGCCUUGGUCUCUCUGUGAGGUGCUGGGAGUAGUUGUGCUUACCCAGGCUUGGCCCUACUUCCAGAGAGUGACCCUGGUUUCCCCACCCUUAAGACCCCUUAGAAGUCAAUGGAUACACUAGAUUUUUUUUAGUAGAAUUGUUGUGCCUGGCAUAGCCAUAUGAAGGGACAAGAUUUCCCCAGGGGUGGGAAUCUAUGUGAAAUAAGCACUGAUGGAAUAGAAAAGUUGAGAGAUACCUUAGAUCUUAGUUCUUUUCCCCUGCUUAGCCAUUCCUUUACAUAGGUGGUGUAGCCAAUCCAAGGGGUGUCCUAGUAAUGCCCAGGAUAGGAGAAGUCAGAAACAGGAAACUGUGCCUCGGUGUGAGUGAUCCCUUGGGGGCUGCCUGAACCAUUCACAAGAGAAUGUCCAGGAGAUCCAUCCCAGGCUUUCCCAUUCAUUCUCCUAGGGGAAGAAUUAGCCAAGAAAAGAGGAGUAGAGCGUUUUCUCUUUGGAUGCUCAGAUGGGCAAGUAAGGAGCCGGUCCCAUCAAGAACCUUCGGGUGUCCACCAAAAGAUGUUCCUUGUGGCUUGAGGCUUGCAAAAUACUAUCGGCAACCUUGCUUCCAUAGGUUUCCCCUUCAACCUUCAAAGGUAGGUCAUUGUUUUAUUCAGGCCUUUUUAGGUUGUCACUAACAGAGGAUUUUUUUUUCUCUAACAUCCCUGAAAAAAAAGCCCUCCAGAGAAUGCUGAUGUCUAGGCCUGGGUCACAUCUUUGUCCCUGGGGUCGGCAGGGCUGACUCAGGUCCUACUGUACGUACUGAGAAGGACGAUUAUGAAAUGGGGUGGGGAGAAGGUGAUUCUCCAAGAGAAUGGAUCCUGGAGGUAAAAAAAGCACAGGUCCACAGGAGCAUGACUGCCCACCCCUAACCGCAUUUCCCAGAGGAAGAAACAGAUGCUCAGAGAUGGCCAAUGCCUUGCCCAAAGUCACACAGCCAGAAGGUGGAAGUGCCAGUAUGAAAACCCAGGAUCCUAAAACUCCGAGUCCAGGAUGCUCUUCCCUUCAUUACAGCUGCUCCACAGACAUUAAAAUGAAGUGACCCUUACUACCUUCAAGAAACUGCCCACACAGAGCACUCUUGUGGGCAGUGGGACCCACAAGGUCUUUUCAUCAAAGUAGACAGAAGAGGACUCUACUCUGUCAUGAUGCCUCCCCAAAUGGCUGGACAUGGAUUCAGAGAGGAUGGUGGUGGCAGGAUGAGCAGGGACACUCCCAGCGUCAGCCACCCUCCCACCCCCCACCCGCCCCCUGCCCAGGUGGAGUCAUC